rnacentral:rRNA from 1 species
UACGGAGGGUGCAAGCGUUAUCCGGAUUUACUGGGUUUAAAGGGUGUGUAGGCGGGCUAUUAAGUCAGCGGUGAAAUCUCCGGACUCAACCUGGAAACUGCCAUUGAUACUAUUAGUCUUGAAUUUUGUUGAGGUAGGCGGAAUAAGUCAUGUAGCGGUGAAAUGCAUAGAUAUGACUUAGAACACCAAUUGCGAAGGCAGCUUGCUAAACAAAUAUUGACGCUGAGGCACGAAAGCGUGGGGAUCAAACAGG